CGCAAUGGGCGCAAGCCUGACGGAGCGAUGUCGCGUGGUUGAUGAAGUCUUUCGGGAUGUAAAGACCUUUUAUGAGGGAGAAAGUUAUUGAUAGUACCUCAUGAAUAAGGGGUUGCUAAACUCGUGCCAGCAGCAGCGGUAAUACGAGUGCCCCAAGCGUUAUCCGGAAUUAUUGGGUGUAAAGGGUGUGUAGGUGGUUUUGUUAGUCGAAUGUUAAAGAUCUGAGCUUAACUCAGGGAAGGCGUUCGAAACGGCAAACCUAGAGGACGCGAGAGAUGUGUAGAACUCAUAGUGUAGGGGUGAAAUCCGUUGAUAUUAUGGGGAAUACCAAAAGCGAAGGCAGCACAUUGGCGCGCUCCUGACACUGAAACACGAAAGCGU
rnacentral:rRNA from 1 species